GCCGAUUUAGCUCAGUUGGUAGAGCAUCUGAUUUGUAAUCAGAGGGUUAGCGGUUCGAACCCGUUAAUCGGCA
rnacentral:tRNA from 1 species